UGUGGGUGAUCGCUGUUGUGAGACUUCGGUCUCUCGACAGUAAGUCACCCCCUUCCAGUAUCCAGUAGUGGGUAUUCAGUUACUUACUAUUGUGUGUUGGUCCUUUACUGUGAGAAAAUUAGAGUGUUCAAAGCAGGCGUUUGCUUGAAUAGAUUAGCAUGGAAUAAUAAUUGAAGGCUUUCGUGUUCGAUUUGAUUGGUUUGUUCAUGGAAGCAAGGUUAAAAGGAACAGUUGGGGGUAUUCAUAUUCACUAGUUAGAGGUGAAAUUCUCGGAUUUAUGGAAGAUGAACAAGUGCGAAAGCAUUUACCAAGGAUGUUUUCAUUAAUCAAGAACGAAAGCUAGGGGAUCGAAGAGGAUUAGAUACCCUCGUAGUCUUAGCUAUAAACGAUACCGACUAGGGGUUAGUAGAGGUCAAAGUGUCUUUAUUAGUACCUUAUGAGAAAAUCAAAGUCUUUUGGGUUUCCGGGGGGGAAGUAAUGGUCCGCCAAGGGCUGAAACUUAAAAGGGAAUUUGACGGGAAGGGGCCACCCACCCAGGGA
rnacentral:rRNA from 1 species